rnacentral:lncRNA from 1 species
UCACGCGUGAUCGUGUGACGAAGCGUGCCUCUCCACCCGGGGGCUCAUAUGAUGAGUGCUUUGAUAGGCACACGCGGGUGUCACCCUAUGUAUUGGGACUGAGCCCACGCCAUAUGUGAUGUGCAGUUGAAGACUGUAUUCGACUGGUACCAGAGUCAAAAUAUCUAAAAUAUCAAGCAUGUUUUAGGUUAAACUGUUUAACCCGUUCUUUCUGCAUAAAAUUUUCUGAAAUUCAUGUUUAGCCCUCUGCACGCACACUUACAGUGGUUUGUGAAACUAUCCUCAUUCCCCUCUUAGCCUUGAUGGCUCUUAAGCACAAGACCAAAGGUUCAAAUCCUCUCUGUAAUAUUUAAUAUUUAUUUAUUUAUGAAGUUGAAAGGUUCAAAUCCCUCAAAAGAUGAGAAAAAACUUAACCAAAUUUAAGUAAAAAUGGUAAAAAUAUAGAGAAAAAACAAAAUUGUUGAAAUAAAAAUGCUAUUUAUUUUUAUAAGUUUUAUCUUAUAUUAAAAUGCAUGUGUUUUAUUCUAGUUUUUAUAUAAUAGCAAUACAAGUGUGAAAGUUCAACAAAGUAUUUUUUUUUCUAUUUUUUUGGGGGUGUUUGAGAAAGAAAGAGCGAGAGGGAGGGGGGGAGGAGGGGGAUCUAAACAUAUUCUUAAUGCAAAGUUGUACGGAUCUAAACAGAUUCUUAAUGCAAAGUUGCACCAGUAACUUGGACUUAUUAGUGAUAUUUAAGAGAAUAGCAUGGUUAACAAGCUCUAAGCCAUCUAUAAACCACCAUGUUCGUAUAGGAACAGCUUGGUAAUUCAUCUUAGGCCACAUAGUUUGCUUUUCUUUAAAAAAGAAAGCGAAAA